AGGUGUGUGGCCAGGACAGCUCAAUAAAGCUAGGAGGAGGGAGGCUGUCACAGGUGGGAGAUGAGGGGUCGCUGACCUCUUUUCCCAGAACCUUGCCUGGAGGGGGCCGGGGCCCAGGGCAGCUCCCCGUGACUACGUGUGUGGUGUGCUGAGCAGCUGGUCCCCAUCAGACCAGCCUCAAGCCUUUCCUAAGGAGGCUUUUGCUUCAGUCACAGCAGACCCUGUGUGGGGAUGGGUAACUCGGGAGGAGCGUUGCCUUGGCAACACAACGACUUAGGAGGGUGGUGCUGGUAACCAGGGCUGCUUUUGACCUUCACCAUCUUUCGGGCUGGUGGCUUUAUCAUUGCCUGCUCUGCUGCUGGGGUCUUCCCAAGUCUGUACUGAAAAGCCAGCCUCAGGGGAGGCCUUUGGCUACCCCCUUUCACCCACUUUCUCAUCUUAGAGGGCAUUGCCUUGAAUUACAUUUCACCAGAAGGUGCCACUUGAAAGCAUCUAAGCCAAAGCUGAGCCCCUGUUUGCCCUGGAUUUACCCUGUGGCUGCCACGCCAGGCCACCCCUGCUGCUCAUCCUGCAGCUAUAACCAGACAAGCAAGGUGACCUCCAGUUUCCAGAUGGAUCCAACGUAAAAGAUGGUGAAACAGCCUCAGCAUCACGUAUCCAGGUACUGUUCUAUCACCGUCUCUUGUUUUCAAAGCCCAAACACAGAACACGCAUCGCAACUGAGCUCCCCGCAGCGUGACUCUGGGGAAAGAGGCGAGGAGAAAAGCAACAUGCAUGCAGGGUCUUAGUUUCCUGAUUGGGGAUCAAACCCACGACCCCUGCAGUGGAAGCUUGGAGUCUUAACCACUAGACCAUUGGGGAAGCCCCUGCAUUUUCUAUAUGAAUA
ensembl:lncRNA